UGCCCAAAGUCGGUGAGUUAACUUCGGAGACCAUUGCCUAAGGCGGACCGAUGACUGGGGUGAAGUCGUAACAAGGUAUCCCUACGAGAACGUGGGGAUGGAACACCUCCUUUCUA
rnacentral:rRNA from 1 species